rnacentral:rRNA from 1 species
GAUGAACGCUGGCGGCGUGCCUAAUACAUGCAAGUCGAGCGAACAGACGAGGAGCUUGCUCCUCUGACGUUAGCGGCGGACGGGUGAGUAACACGUGGAUAACCUACCUAUCAGACUGGGAUAACUUCGGGAAACCGGAGCUAAUACCGGAUAAUAUAUUGAACCGCAUGGUUCAAUAGUGAAAGACGGUUUUGCUGUCACUUAUAGAUGGAUCCGCGCCGCAUUAGCUAGUUGGUAAGGUAACGGCUUACCAAGGCGACGAUGCGUAGCCGACCUGAGAGGGUGAUCGGCCACACUGGAACUGAGACACGGUCCAGACUCCUACGGGAGGCAGCAGUAGGGAAUCUUCCGCAAUGGGCGAAAGCCUGACGGAGCAACGCCGCGUGAGUGAUGAAGGUCUUCGGAUCGUAAAACUCUGUUAUUAGGGAAGAACAAAUGUGUAAGUAACUAUGCACGUCUUGACGGUACCUAAUCAGAAAGCCACGGCUAACUACGUG